GCAUAUUAUUAGGCGGAGGAAAAGAAACUAACAAGGAUUUCCCUAGUAACGGCGAGUGAAAAGGAAAAAGCCCAUCGCUGAAUCCCUUGGCAUUUGCCCUGGGACCUGUAGCGUUAAUGAAAGUCGCUCUGCUGGCGCUAUUAUCGUAAGCUCCCUUGAUUGGGACCCCAUAGAGGGUGGAAGGCCCGUAACGAUAUGUUAGCUAGCGGUAUGAUUUUCAAAAGAGUCGGGUUGCUUGAGAGUGCAGCCCAAAGUUGGUGGUAAACUCCAUCUAAGGCUAAAUAUGACCACAAGACCGAUAGCGAACAAGUACCGCGAGGGAAAGUUGAAAAGAACUUUGAAGAGAGAGUUCAAAAGGGCGUGAAACCGUUUAGAAGCAAACGGAUAAAGCCGCAAGGUAGUUGCAAAAAUCAGCUAGGCAAAUGGGUGAACACUUGUCGGUCGAUCGAUUAAACGACUGGCUAUGUUAUUAGCCUCUGUCUGGUGCACUUUUUGCGAUGAAGCAUUGCGACCAAGGUGAAUUCUGACGGAAGGGUGAGCUUGAAGGCAGAGACGAGUUUUCUGUAACUAGGCUCCUUGAAAGUCAGUACAUAACUUUGGUUCCCCUAGCAGCGGCCGUAGGAGUAGUGAAAUUUGGUGGCUGGCUUGGUCGAAAUGUCUGAUUCUGCUUGCAGGGUUGGGCGAUUCCUAGGCUAGUAGCUGAAUGAUCUACUAGCUGCGAAGGCUCGGCAAUGUCAGUGGCGGCGACUUAUCCGACCCGUCUUGAAACACGGACCAAGGAGUCUAACAUGUGCGCGAGUUAUUGAGUGGUAAACUCAAAGGCGAAAUAAAAGUAAAGACAGCGCUAGCUGGCUUAAAUAUGAUCCUCGGCUUCGGCUGGGGCGGAGUAUUGUCCCAUCUAAGUGGUUCGUCCACUGGGUGGAGAAAGAGCGCAAAUGUUGGGACCCGAAAGAUGGUGAACUAUGCCUGAGCAGAACGAAGCCAGAGGAAACUCUGGUGGAGGUUCGUAGCGGUUCUGACGUGCAAAUCGAUCGUCAGACUUGGGUAUAGGGGCGAAAGACUAAUCGAACCAUC
rnacentral:rRNA from 1 species